rnacentral:rRNA from 1 species
UACGUAGGGUGCAAGGCGUUGUCCGGAAUUAUUGGGCGUAAAGAGCGUGUAGGCGGCCCGAUUAGUCCGCUGUGAAAGUCCAGGGCUCAACCCUGGAAUGCCGGUGGAUACUGUCGGGCUAGAGUCCGGAAGGGGCGAGUGAAAUUCCUGGGUGUAGCGGUGAAAUGCGCAGAUAUCAGGAGGAACACCAAUGCGGAAGGCAGCUCGCUGGGACGUAACUGACGCUGGAGAACGCGAAAGCGUGGGGGAGCAAACAGG